rnacentral:rRNA from 1 species
AGCGGCGGACGGGUGAGUAAUGCCUAGGAAUCUGCCUGGUAGUGGGGGACAACGUCUCGAAAGGGACGCUAAUACCGCAUACGUCCUACGGGAGAAAGCAGGGGACCUUCGGGCCUUGCGCUAUCAGAUGAGCCUAGGUCGGAUUAGCUAGUUGGUGAGGUAAUGGCUCACCAAGGCGACGAUCCGUAACUGGUCUGAGAGGAUGAUCAGUCACACUGGAACUGAGACACGGUCCAGACUCCUACGGGAGGCAGCAGUGGGGAAUAUUGGACAAUGGGCGAAAGCCUGAUCCAGCCAUGCCGCGUGUGUGAAGAAGGUCUUCGGAUUGUAAAGCACUUUAAGUUGGGAGGAAGGGCAUUAACCUAAUACGUUAGUGUUUUGACGUUACCGACAGAAUAAGCACCGGCUAACUCUGUGCCAGCAGCCGCGGUAAUACAGAGGGUGCAAGCGUUAAUCGGAAUUACUGGGCGUAAAGCGCGCGUAGGUGGUUUGUUAAGUUGGAUGUGAAAGCCCCGGGCUCAACCUGGGAACUGCAUUCAAAACUGACAAGCUAGAGUAUGGUAGAGGGUGGUGGAAUUUCCUGUGUAGCGGUGAAAUGCGUAGAUAUAGGAAGGAACACCAGUGGCGAAGGCGACCACCUGGACUGAUACUGACACUGAGGUGCGAAAGCGUGGGGAGCAAACAGGAUUAGAUACCCUGGUAGUCCACGCCGUAAACGAUGUCAACUAGCCGUUGGGAGCCUUGAGCUCUUAGUGGCGCAGCUAACGCAUUAAGUUGACCGCCUGGGGAGUACGGCCGCAAGGUUAAAACUCAAAUGAAUUGACGGGGGCCCGCACAAGCGGUG